rnacentral:rRNA from 1 species
GACGAACGCUGGCGGCGUGCCUAAUACAUGCAAGUUGAGCGCUGAAGGUUGGUACUUGUACCGACUGGAUGAGCAGCGAACGGGUGAGUAACGCGUGGGGAAUCUGCCUUUGAGCGGGGGACAACAUUUGGAAACGAAUGCUAAUACCGCAUAAAAACUUUAAACACAAGUUUUAAGUUUGAAAGAUGCAAUUGCAUCACUCAAAGAUGAUCCCGCGUUGUAUUAGCUAGUUGGUGAGGUAAAGGCUCACCAAGGCGAUGAUACAUAGCCGACCUGAGAGGGUGAUCGGCCACAUUGGGACUGGGACACGGCCCAAACUCCUACGGGAGGCAGCAGUAGGGGAUCUUCGGCAAUGGACGGAAGUCUGACCGAGCAACGCCGCGUGAGUGAAGAAGGUUUUCGGAUCGUAAAACUCUGUUGGUAGAGAAGAACGUUGGUGAGAGUGGAAAGCUCAUCAAGUGACGGUAACUACCCAGAAAGGGACGGCUAACUACGUG